AGAGUUUGAUCCUGGCUCAGAUUGAACGCUGGCGGCAGGCCUAACACAUGCAAGUCGAGCGGUAGAGAGAAGCUUGCUUUUCUUGAGAGCGGCGGACGGGUGAGUAAUGCCUAGGAAUCUGCCUGGUAGUGGGGGAUAACGUUCGGAAACGGACGCUAAUACCGCAUACGUCCUACGGGAGAAAGCAGGGGACCUUCGGGCCUUGCGCUAUCAGAUGAGCCUAGGUCGGAUUAGCUAGUUGGUGAGGUAAUGGCUCACCAAGGCGACGAUCCGUAACUGGUCUGAGAGGAUGAUCAGUCACACUGGAACUGAGACACGGUCCAGACUCCUACGGGAGGCAGCAGUGGGGAAUAUUGGACAAUGGGCGAAAGCCUGAUCCAGCCAUGCCGCGUGUGUGAAGAAGGUCUUCGGAUUGUAAAGCACUUUAAGUUGGGAGGAAGGGCAGUAAAUUAAUACUUUGCUGUUUUGACGUUACCGACAGAAUAAGCACCGGCUAACUCUGUGCCAGCAGCCGCGGUAAUACAGAGGGUGCAAGCGUUAAUCGGAAUUACUGGGCGUAAAGCGCGCGUAGGUGGUUUGUUAAGUUGGAUGUGAAAUCCCCGGGCUCAACCUGGGAACUGCAUUCAAAACUGACUGACUAGAGUAUGGUAGAGGGUGGUGGAAUUUCCUGUGUAGCGGUGAAAUGCGUAGAUAUAGGAAGGAACACCAGUGGCGAAGGCGACCACCUGGACUAAUACUGACACUGAGGUGCGAAAGCGUGGGGAGCAAGCAGGAUUAGAUACCCUGGUAGUCCACGCCGUAAACGAUGUCAACUAGCCGUUGGAAGCCUUGAGCUUUUAGUGGCGCAGCUAACGCAUUAAGUUGACCGCCUGGGGAGUACGGCCGCAAGGUUAAAACUCAAAUGAAUUGACGGGGGCCCGCACAAGCGGUGGAGCAUGUGGUUUAAUUCGAAGCAACGCGAAGAACCUUACCAGGCCUUGACAUCCAAUGAACCUUCUAGAGAUAGAUUGGUGCCUUCGGGAACAUUGAGACAGGUGCUGCAUGGCUGUCGUCAGCUCGUGUCGUGAGAUGUUGGGUUAAGUCCCGUAACGAGCGCAACCCUUGUCCUUAGUUACCAGCACGUCAUGGUGGGCACUCUAAGGAGACUGCCGGUGACAAACCGGAGGAAGGUGGGGAUGACGUCAAGUCAUCAUGGCCCUUACGGCCUGGGCUACACACGUGCUACAAUGGUCGGUACAGAGGGUUGCCAAGCCGCGAGGUGGAGCUAAUCCCACAAAACCGAUCGUAGUCCGGAUCGCAGUCUGCAACUCGACUGCGUGAAGUCGGAAUCGCUAGUAAUCGCGAAUCAGAAUGUCGCGGUGAAUACGUUCCCGGGCCUUGCACUCACCGCCCGUC
rnacentral:rRNA from 1 species